UACGAGGGGGGCGAGCGUUGUUCGGAAUUAUUGGGCGUAAAGGGUGCGUAGGCGGUUCCGCAAGUCCUGUGUGAAAUCUUCGGGCUCAACUCGAAGUCUGCACGGGAAACUGCGGGGCUUGAGUGUGGGAGAGGUGAGUGGAAUUCCCGGUGUAGCGGUGAAAUGCGUAGAUAUUGGAAAGACCACCAAUGGCGAAGGCACUCUACUGGGCCAUUACUGACACUGAGAGACGAAAGCUAGGGGAGCGAAUGGG
rnacentral:rRNA from 1 species